GAUGAACGCUGGCGGCGUGCCUAACACAUGCAAGUCGAACGAAGCACUGUAGAAUGAGGAUUCGUUUGAAUUUGGCUUUGAUUAGUGGCGGACGGGUGAGUAAUGCGUGAGCAACCUGCCUUUCAGAGGGGGACAACAGUUGGAAACGACUGCUCAUACCGCAUGACAUAUUGAGAUCGGAUGGUUUUGAUAUUAAAGAUUUAUCGCUGAUAGAUGGGCUCACGUCUGAUUAGUUAGUUGGUGAGGUAACGGCUCACCAAGACUGCGAUCAGUAGCCGGACUGAGAGGUUGAACGGCCACAUUGGGACUGAGAUACGGCCCAGACUCCUACGGGAGGCAGCAGUGGGGAAUAUUGGGCAAUGGGCGAAAGCCUGACCCAGCAACGCCGCGUGAAGGAAGAAGGUUUUCGGAUUGUAAACUUCUUUUAAGAGGGACGAAGAAGUGACGGUACCU
rnacentral:rRNA from 1 species